UGCGGGGUAGAGCAGAGGCAGCUCGUCGGGCUCAUAACCCGGAGGUCACAGGUUCGAAUCCUGUCCCCGCGACCA
rnacentral:tRNA from 1 species